GCAUAUCAAUAAGCGGAGGAAAAGAAAAUAACAAUGAUUCCCUUAGUAACGGCGAGUGAAGGGGGAUAAGCUCAAAUUUUAAAUCUGCUAGGUUUUACCUGUCAGAGUUGUAUUUUGAAGAAGCGUUUUCCGCGUCUCGGUUGACCCAAAUCCUUUGGGAUAAGGUAUCAUGGAGGGUGAGAAUCCCGUCCGGUUGACCUUAUGACGCUUUACGAUACGUUUUCAAAGAGUCGAGUUGUUUGGGAUUGCAGCUCAAAAUGGGAGGUAAAUUUCUCCUAAGGCUAAAUAUUGGCGAGAGACCGAUAGCGAACAAGUACCGUGAGGGAAAGAUGAAAAGAACUUUGAAAAGAGAGUAAAGUAGUACGUGAAAUUGUUGAAAGGGAAACGAUUGAAGUCAGUCGUACCGACGAGAAAUCAGCUCUUUGAGUGCGAACUUGUGGGCGUGCGUGAGCUUUACGGCCUCGCUGUUUGCAAUGUUUGUUCUUUUUGGGUGUACUUUUUCGUAUGGUAGGCCAACAUCAGUUUCGAAUAUCAUAAAAUGACCGGAGGAAUGUAGCUUCGAUCUCGUAUUGAAGUGUUAUAGCCUUUGGUAGAUGUGAUGUUUGGGACUGAGGAUUGCAACGAAUAUCCUUUGGGCUAUCCGUCUGAUCUCUGAAAGUUGCUUAGGUGCCGAAAGCGUGCUUACGGUUAUUUAAGUUGACGGUCAAAAGGUUAGAACGUGAUUACAUUCGUUAAGGAUGUUGACGUA
rnacentral:rRNA from 1 species